rnacentral:lncRNA from 1 species
AAGGGCUAAGGAGCACGUCAGGAGCACCCGAGGUCACUAGUUCAUGAUCCUUUCGGUCACCCGCGAGCCCUGAGCACAGCCGUGUUUACAAAGCACCCCUGGAGGAAAAGGCUGAACGGCACUUUAAAGGCCACGGGCUCCCACAGGCUUCCGUCCUCUCUCGCGAGAUCGGACUGACAACCCCCGCCCGCUCGCCCCGCUCCCGGCAUCCCCACCUUCCUUCUGGCGCCCCUCCCCUUCACCCACACGCCCCUUCUUGCCUUCCUUCUGAGGGAGCGCCUCCGAGUCAGGUGAUUCCGUCAGGCUUAAGGAGAAGAAGGCGGGUCUUCGGCAGGGCGGGUAGAGGGGACGGGCAUCAAAGAGCACUCGGGCGCUCAUGAUUGGACAAGGAGCCCGAAGGGCGGGAAGCAGUUCUGGAGGGGGCGGGACCAGAGGGCCCAAGGAGCGUUACUUCUGUAAACCCGGAGCUGUGGAAGACUGUGAUUGGCUGUCGGCUGGAGGAGGGCGCGGGUGCAGGCGGCGGUGAAGGGCUAGGCAGGGCUUUGGCGGUGUGAGGGGAGGAAAGGUGGUGAGCUCCGGAAAGGCUGCUAGAGGGAAAGCAGGAUGGGUCCUCCGAGCCCAGCCCCAGGAGCCGGGUGUCUCCGUUUCCGUCACUUCCCAGCACUAGGUAGGGAGGUGGGUAAAAGUAGGCUGCGUUCCUCAGCCCACCCCUUGGCUCCCCGGGAGCCUGAGGCGGGGAGCUUCGGGUUAGGUGAGGUUUGGGGGAGGCGGAGUUUGCUGGUAAUUGCCCAUCCCUCCCCUCCAAAAAACCCCACACAACUUAAAGAUUUUAAUAUUAACUGUAAGGAUGUUGGUUAUUCAAUAAAUAGGCACAAGUUGAAAAG